UACGUAGGGGGCAAGCGUUGUCCGGAUUUAUUGGGCGUAAAGAGCGUGUAGGCGGCCAGGUAGGUCCGUUGUGAAAACUCGAGGCUCAACCUCGAGACGUCGGCGGAAACCAUCUGGCUAGAGUCCGGAAGAGGAGAGUGGAAUUCCUGGUGUAGCGGUGAAAUGCGCAGAUAUCAGGAAGAACACCCGUGGCGAAGGCGGCUCUCUGGGACGGUACUGACGCUGAGACGCGAAAGCGUGGGGAGCGAACAGG
rnacentral:rRNA from 1 species